rnacentral:lncRNA from 1 species
AACAACAGAAGGUUUCAACAAUCAAGCAGAGACGCCAAAGAUCGAGCAAAGGAGAUUGCACUUCAAGUGCACUUUACUGGCAUAAAGCUACCUAAAUGGUCACCCAUUUUACAGAACAUUAACAGCUAUCCUUCGUGUGAGUAUCCAAAAUUGUAGCAACUUUCUCUCUGUGAUAGGAUAUUAGCUUAACAACAAUAGUUGUAGAGUUUCAAAUUGAUUGUACUGUUGAGAUCUGUUCUAGAGUCCAAAAGAACAGAUGAUGUAAAUUUGCCAAAUAGUUGAAAUAAAACAAAAAAUUUCUUCUAAAAAAAGUAGUCAACACGAACCCCACAGUCUCACCUAUUUAGUGGUCAAAGAAGACCUUUUAUUAUUACCCCCCUUUUUCCUUUACAUCAUUAUGUAUUAUCCCCCACAAACCCUUGUCCCCUCUUAUUUUAAUUAAAUGUUACGGGCCCACAUUUAAUUAAUUCCCAAAAUACCCCCAAAAUUAUUGAAAAUUAUUAUUCUUUCCCAUCAUCUAUAUCCAAUCUUUCCUAAUCAAUUCAAACAAUUAAUAUCACCAAACAAACUCCUAAUCAACAACAUUCAGGAAUCACUUCAACAAAGUAAGAUUUAUAUCAACAUUUGAAGAUCAUAUUCAUAUUUGAAAAAGAACAAUCUAGUAGAUUUAAAUUACCAAACUCAACAUCAGUUGAACUUCAAAUUAAAAUCAACAGCAUUAUAACCAAGAUGAAAGAUUCAAGUGAUUUAAACUAACACACUUCUAUAUUAAAACUAAACAAGAACAAAUAAAUGAAAAUUGGGUUGGUUAUUGAACCGCCCAUUUAGCGAGAAAUUUAAAACAAACUGAACUAGGAGUGAAUCUUAUCAACACUCUAAAUCAAAACUAUACAAAAAUGUAAGAUUACUGACAGUGAGCUAAAUUCCUAUGGAUUAUCACAUGACACAUCAAAGAGUAUAACCCAUGACAAUCAAAUAAACGAUGAACAAAACUGAAAUACAACUAAGAAAAACAAAUAACAAUAUCAAAAAUAGAACAAAAGAAGAGGAAAAUACCUCAUGAAAUCAGAACAAGGCGAACUCAAGCUUGAACUUAUCCGUUUCCCCUCUGCUAUUUCUCGUCAUUAUUUUGUAUAUUUUUAGGAUUGUUGAUGAUCGGACAAGGUGAAGACGAGGACUGUUGACGAGCAGUUAGUGUUCAACGACGAGCAUGGUGUUAGACGACUCGACUGGGCCGGCGUGACUGCUGAUCGUUUGGUCAUUUGGAUCUAUCUUCAUGGUUGUUUGGAUUGGUCGUUGGUGUGAGUUGACAGAGGAAGAAGAAAACGACGCAGCAGGGGGUGGUCGUUUGGUUGCGUGAAGGAGACAUGAAGGUGGUUCGCUUGAGAUGAAGGUUUUGGAGAUGAUGAAGACGAUCAACGACUGGGUGGUCGACGAUGGGAGGCAGUGUGGGUUCGACUGGUUGGAGAUGAUGACCAGGCAGGGGGUUCGUUUUCGUCGUUUGAUUGGUUAGCGAUAUGGGUGGUCGUUUGGAACAAGGGGUGAAGCAGACUGGUUCGUCGGUGGUCGUGGGUGACGAUGCUGGGCAAUGAAGUGGUCGACUGGACUGCUUCAAACAUUGGUCUGGACGUUUCUGCGUUCUUGUGGAAUUUGGUUGCUCGUGGAGGUUGAUGGGGCAGCAACGUCAUUGCUGGGGUCUUCUGGUCGACGGGCUGUGCGAUGGUGAGAAGCUAGUUGGGUAGUUUUUCGGCGAACUGAGAGUGAUGGGGUGGUGGGGAAGAUGAGGAAGAACGGAGGGGGCAGCAUGGUGGUCAGAAAUGAUGGGUUUCCGACGUGGGGGUGGUUUCUAGCUAAGGUUUUGAGGGUGUGUUUGGAGAAGAUGAAGAGAGGGUGGUGGGUGCUUAGGUGUGACGGCCAGAGAGAGUUUAGGGUGUGUUUAGGGUUAGGUUAUUUGGUUAAAUGAAAAAAGAAUCUGAAAAAUCAAAAGAG